CCUACGGGCGGCUGCAGUGGGGAAUAUUGCACAAUGGGGGAAACACUGAUGCAGCGACGCCGCGUGAGUGAAGAAGUAAUUAGUUAUGUAAAGCUCUAUCAGCAGGGAAGAAAAUGACGGUACCUGAGUAAGAAGCCCCGGAUAACUACGUGCCAGCAGCCGGGGGAAUACGGAGGGGGCAAGCGUUAUCCGGAUUUACUGGGUGGAAAGGGAGCGUAGACGGUAGUGCAAGUCUGGAGUGAAAGUCGGGGGCUCAACCCCCGGACUGCUCUGGAAACUGUACGGCUGGAGUGCAGGAGAGGUAAGUGGAAUUCCUAGUGUAGCGGUGAAAUGCGUAGAUAUUAGGAGGAACACCAGUGGCGAAGGCGGCUUACUGGACUGUAACUGACGUUGAGGCUCGAAAGCGUGGGGAGCAAACAGGAUUAGAUACCCCUGUAGUC
rnacentral:rRNA from 1 species